rnacentral:rRNA from 1 species
AUUCCUACGGGAGGCAGCAGUGGGAAUAUUGCACAAUGGGCGAAAGCCUGAUGCAGCGACGCCGCGUGGGGAUGACGGCCUUCGGGUUGUAAACCUCUUUCAGUAGGGAAGAAGCGAAAGUGACGGUACCUGCAGAAGAAGCGCCGGCUAACUACGUGCCAGCAGCCGCGGUAAUACGUAGGGCGCAAGCGUUGUCCGGAAUUAUUGGGCGUAAAGAGCUCGUAGGUGGCUUGUCGCGUCUGCCGUGAAAACCCGAGGCUCAACCUCGGGCGUGCGGUGGGUACGGGCAGGCUAGAGUGUGGUAGGGGAGACUGGAACUCCUGGUGUAGCGGUGAAAUGCGCAGAUAUCAGGAAGAACACCGAUGGCGAAGGCAGGUCUCUGGGCCAUUACUGACACUGAGGAGCGAAAGCAUGGGUAGCGAGCAGGAUUAGAUACCCUGGUAGUCCAUGCCGUAAACGUUGGGCACUAGAUGUGGGGGACAUUCCACGUUUUCCGCGUCGUAGCUAACGCAUUAAGUGCCCCGCCUGGGGAGUACGGCCGCAAGGCUAAAACUCAAAGGAAUUGACGGGGGCCCGCACAAGCGGCGGAGCAUGCUGAUUAAUUCGAUGCAACGCGAAGAACCUUACCAAGGCUUGACAUGCACCGGACGGCCGCAGAGAUGUGGCUUUCUUCGGACUGGUGCACAGGUGGUGCAUGGUUGUCGUCAGCUCGUGUCGUGAGAUGUUGGGUUAAGUCCCGCAACGAGCGCAACCCUUGUUCUAUGUUGCCAGCACGUCAUGGUGGGGACUCAUAGGAGACUGCCGGGGUCAACUCGGAGGAAGGUGGGGACGACGUCAAAUCAUCAUGCCCCUUAUGUCUUGGGCUUCAAGCAUGCUACAAUGGUCGGUACAAUGGGUUGCGAAACUGUGAGGUGGAGCGAAUCCCAAAAAGCCGGCCUCAGUUCGGAUUGGGGUCUGCAACUCGACCCCAUGAAGUNGGAGUCGCUAGUAAUCGCAGAUCAG